GAUGAACGCUGGCGGCGUGCCUAAUACAUGCAAGUCGAGCGAACAGACGAGGAGCUUGCUCCUCUGACGUUAGCGGCGGACGGGUGAGUAACACGUGGAUAACCUACCUAUAAGACUGGGAUAACUUCGGGAAACCGGAGCUAAUCCCGGAUAACAUGCUGAACCGCAUGGGUCAACAGUGAAAUACGGUCUUGCUGGCACGUAUCGAGGGAUCCCCGCCGCAUUAGCUAGUUGUUACGGUAACGGCUUACCAAGGCAACGAUGCGUAGCCGACCUGAGAGGGUGAUAGGCGACAUGGGAGGUGAGACAGGGUCCAGAGUACUACGGGAGGCACCAGACGGGAACCUGAGGCAACGGGCGAAAGCAUGACGGAGCAACGCCGAGUGAGUGAUGAAGGUCUUCGGAUCGUAAAACUGUGUUAUGAGGGAAGAACAAAUGUGUAAGUAACUAUGCAGGUCUUGACGGUACCUAAUAAGAAAGCCACGGCUAACUACGUG
rnacentral:rRNA from 1 species